GAGUUUGAUCAUGGCUCAGAUUGAACGCUGGCGGCAUGCCUUACACAUGCAAGUCGAACGGCAGCACGGGAGCUUGCUCCUGGUGGCGAGUGGCGAACGGGUGAGUAAUGCAUCGGAACGUAUCCUGGAGUGGGGGAUAACGUAGCGAAAGUUACGCUAAUACCGCAUAUUCUGUGAGCAGGAAAGCGGAGGACCUUCGGGCCUCGCGCUCUUGGAGCGGCCGAUGUCGGAUUAGCUAGUUGGUGAGGUAAAGGCUCACCAAGGCGACGAUCCGUAGCAGGUCUGAGAGGAUGAUCUGCCACACUGGAACUGAGACACGGUCCAGACUCCUACGGGAGGCAGCAGUGGGGAAUUUUGGACAAUGGGGGCAACCCUGAUCCAGCCAUGCCGCGUGAGUGAAGAAGGCCUCGGUUGGUAAGUACGUCUUCGUCG
rnacentral:rRNA from 1 species